AUGACAACCCCCUUCUGGCUCUAUGUAAAACCUACCCAACAAGUGACCUCAUAAUACCACAUGUGGUGGCCAUUGCUUUUGUAAAAGCUUUGCUAGGUAAUCAAGCCCAGAGGUGCCACAUACGGAUGAUACACUGCUCCCACAUUGAAUGAUCUGAAUGUCAGAGCCAGAACCGACUGUCCAGAUGGUUUCCCUCUGCCAUCAGCUCCAGGUUACCUUCCUAAGGGACACUGAUGUAGAGGAAUGUUGCUUGUCUAGAAUGCUUGCACGGCUUGCAGGUGUAUAAUUAGUCACUAGUCAAUGUGUAAAUACUCCAUAAAUUGCUUUAUUUGUUCACGGAAAAUGUUCUGCAGAAAGAGGAGGUAUUAUAGCAGCCAGGGCUGAACACGAGAGAUAAGGCAUUGUGGGAAAGAACAAGCAAGAGAGGAAACACUGUCAUGUGUCCCUCUUCUGGGAUGAAGCUCAUAGGUUCCUGCUCCUCGUUUUCUAAGAACAUUGACUCCCCUGGGUGAAUAAUUUAAAGGACAAAUUACAGCUCUUCUGAGUACCAAUGCCAGCCAUAAGCUGAAAUUAAAUUAUAUCAUAAAGCCCUACAAGUAACUGGAAGAAGGUUCAGAAAUAUAAAACCGAGGGAACCCAGAGCUAAGCAUGAAAUAUUACUCGGAGCUGUGUCCUUGUCUCCCGGUGCUGAUGAAGUGAAAAGCUGAGCACCAUCCCAUGCAGACUGAAAGGACCACUAUCAAAUAGUCAUCCCCAGCACUUGGCAAUGGCUGUUGCAGUGAUUUCAAUUCCAGUGGGGUAUUGGAGGGAGGCAGGGGUGAUAAUGCUGGAUCAGCUUCAUGUCCUUGCUCAGUGGCUGACUUGUCAGGUGACCUUCAGCCAGUCACCUCCCAACCUGGGCCUUCAUUCCCAGCUCUUCAGAUGAAGUAAGAUGAAAAAUAGAAUUUGUGCUUUCAAUUUUUCCCCCAAACAGCUCAGCUGCUCAUGAGCUAAUAAAAAAGAAUGUGCCACUUAAAGAGUGGAAAACAGGAGUUGGCUCAGCAGGUAAGGGCAUUUGCUGCUCUUCCAAAGGACCUGAAUUCAGUGAUGGGCAGCUUACAAACAACUGUAAUCCUAGCUCCGGGAGACCUUACAGGCUCCCCUGGCCUCUGAGGGUACCUCCCGCCUCCCCUCUCAUGCACUCAAACACACAUACAUGCACACACACAUCACAUAAACACAAUUUUUUUAAAAUUAAUAUGUAAAAUAGUCUAGAAAUAGCUCAAGUAAUGGAGUGCUUGUCUAACAUGACUGAAGCCCUGAGUUCUGUAUCCAACACCACAUAAAACUGGAUACGGAUACGGUGGUACAUACCAUAAGCUCAACGCUUAGGAGGUAGAGGCAAGAGGAUCACAAGUUCAAGAUAACUCAGCUACAUACAUUCAAGGCUAGCCUGAGCAAUGUGAGAUCCUGCUUCAAAAUAAAAAUGUAGAAAGCCCAAUAUCUUUUUAAAAAAUAAUUUUAACUAACAUUCAACCAUCUGGCCAGGAGACCACUGUUGCUAUGAUUUAUUGAUAAAUAAAAUGCUGAUUGGCCAGUAGCCAGGCGGGAAGGAUAGUGUAGGUGGGACAAGGAGAGAGGAGAAGGCCGGGUGGAAGAAGGCUGAGUGAGGAGACACUGCCAGUCGCCACAAGGAGAAGCAUGAUGUAAGAUACAGAUGGUAGUGUCCAAGUGUAUCAGACCCACCCUGGAAAAGAAAAUUGCUUUCUUAUGACUUCUAUCAAAUCCCCAAACUUCUCCUGCCCAGGAGUUUGCACAUUUGUGAAAUCGUAGGUUCCAAGUUGCUUCUUCAUGCACAGUUCAUUUUGGUGAAGCCUUCUGCUGGCCCUUCAUCCCCAUCACCGCCACGCUGCCGUCUGCUAGAAUCCAUCCGCCGCCGCCUGAAUUCCUGCUCUUUCAUUGUACCCACGAUGAAUUAGUGUUCUGCUAACACUACCCCCAGCUCUACCGCCUCCUGCACCAGGCCUGCCCACAGCUCCCAGGAAUUUUGCUCCAGAAGCCUAGCCCCCACGGUCUCCUGUACCAAGUAGGGACCUCAGCUUCUCCUGCCUAAACCUGCCUACGUCAUCUGAUUAAACCUCUGCUCUUGCUUCCCUAUUCCUCCCUGGAACUUGCUUCCAGGUGCCGCUUCCACCGAAAGCUUCCGGGAAUUUUGUGGCAGGAGUCCAGCCUCAUGGCCUCCUGCACCUGGCUUUUUAUGUGAGUGCUGGGAAUCCAAGCUCAGGUCUCCAUAUCUGCACGGCAAGCACAUUACUGACCGAGGCAUCUCGCGAGCUCUGGGACCACACCUUUCAAUCUUCCGUAUGUCACUGUCUACAGACUUGUCUACGGCUCUGCCCACGCAGAUGCUCAGGCAAUGCUUGCUAACUGAACGUUUUUAUGAUCGUGGGUAGAAAGACGGCAUAAAUGCAAAACACGAUUUUCCCCUCGCCCGAGUCACCCAGGAGCAUCAUUCUCAUUCGGAGAUGACCACGUUUCGGAAAGAGUGUCUCAUAAAACAUACAAUUUAAUGAAGCCAUCUGGGAAGACGGUAGUCAUAUAAAUGCAAGAUAUUGAUAUUAUCUGGCUACUUGGGGAAGGACCAUGUAAAUGAAAGUGCAGACCAGCUCCAUAAUUCAAAUCUGGUAUUGAUGUACAAGGUCUUUGGAUGAUAGACUUUUCAGAUUGAUAAUUCUCACAAGUCCAAGGCUACCUCUCUCCACUCCUUAGCAAUUUUGCUAGUUAUUUUUGCAUAGAGGUUUUUUUUUUUCACUUUUGGGAAAAUAGAUUUUAUAUUUUUUAACAGGAGUUUAUCAGCAUCAUCUGAGAGUCUUGAAACAGUUUUUUUAUGUGCCUUUAUUGCUUUUUCUUACAGCUUCUGUUCUUUAUGAGCAAAAAAUGCUUCAAAGAAGUUAAGCAUGCCUCUCGCUCUUGAAUAACUAUGCAGAGUGUUGUGCAGGUAGUAAGCUGCCUAAUCAAUUCGGCUGCUUCCUCUUCUGUAGUCUUCUAGCACAAACGUGGCUUCUAUUUCCGAGGUGGUCCAGAAGUCUGCUCUGGAAGGAGCAAGUCAGUAUUGUGUGUUCCUGGUCAGCCAAUUAUUCUCUGGGAGCCAGAUGCUAAAACAAUUCUGUAGAAGGGUUCUCUAGAGGCGCAGGUCAAGUAGAAGGAAUUUAUACUACAAAGGGGAGUUAAUAGAUCGGCACGCACCAGACAGGCCCGGGUAGUCCGACAAUGGUAGUCUCCACGCUGGAGAGACUGUGCACUGCGAAGAUGCUCAGCCUGGGACGCACAUACCCCAGCAGUCCCAAUCCUGGAGCUGGAGGCCUAGAAGAUGUUGGUAGAGCUGCUGGUCUUCAGUCUACAUUGGAAGCCGAUGAAGAUGGAGUCUGAUAUCAGCAAAGAUUAGCAGCAGCAACAGCGGCAGAAUAGAUACAUUUACCACCAGCAAGAAAGCAGGCAGGCAAAAGCAACCCUGAGUUUUCCGUAGACCUUUGUUUAUGUGUGCAGGUGUGUGUGUGUGUGUGUGUGUGUGUGUGUGUGUGUGUGUGUGUGUGUCUGCUUGUGCAUGUCUGCAGUGUCCUUGGAGGACAAGGGACAGCAUUGGAUACCCUGGAGCUGGUUACAAGUGGUUGUGGGAUGCAGGAUAUAGGUGCAGGGAACCAACACCAGGUCACCUGCUCUUGUCUGCUAAGUUAGUCCACUUAGAACACUUUAAACUGGCCCACCAUUAGAAGAUGUUGCACACUCUGGGGGAAGGUCUUCUCCCCUCAACCAGUCCUUCCUGAAUAUGUCCCCCAGACCCUGCUAGAGGCAUUUCCCAAGUGACUUGAGAACCAAGUUGGCAAUCAAGAUCAAAUCACAGUUAUGAGUUCAGUCAUACCAAUGAUUGCACCACAACAUCUUGCUAGCUCUGGCAUUCCUGAUCUUUUCUAUAGUCAAUGCAGAAAUAGAAUGUGUUCUCUCUGCUUGACACACCACCUUGUGAUAUCUACUGAAGGAAUUGCCAUCGGCACUGAGGGUACAGCUGCCACUGCUGUGUGAAAUGGAGUUUCUGUUGGCACUACCCCCCCCCAUAUGUAUCUACAAAAAGAAAUAGGAUCCAGUGUCUGAGUGUACCUGCUAUAAAUACUGAAUCCAUGUGGCUCAGGCUAUCCUCACAUACACACAAUCACCACACUCACCAGUUUAUACACACCUCCAUCCAGUCACCUCACUCUUCCCAGAAGUGGGUAGACAUUCGUGGACACGGUCUGGGUUUGAUGUAACAGGUUUUCUGGUCCCAGGGACCACACACAGGGUUUACUUGGAGCAUGUGUAUAAUGAGGAAGAGAGCUACAAAGACUGUGUGCACACUCUGCCUGGUGGGUGACUGGGGUUCCCGUGUCUUUUGUGGUUUGAAUGUGAAGUGUUGCUCAUAAGCUCCUGUGCUUGAGUGUGGUCCCCUGAUGGAGAUGCUGUUUAGAAAGGCUAUGGAGUCUUUGGAAGCUAGAGCUUUACUGGAGGAAGUUGGCCACUAGGGGCAGGCUUUGAGAUGCAUUCACCAUGAAUGUGGAGCCCAGAGAUGUUAGGCGUCUUCCACUAUCGUUACCCAUUUCCUACUGUUUUGGGUUUUGAGACAGUGUCCUUCACUAGAAUCAGAGCCCACUGACUGGCCAGUGAUCUCCAAGGGCCCACUUGUCUCUGCUUGACCCCCUUCCCUGGAAACACAGUGGGGUUGCAGAUGCUUGCCACUGAACCCAAUUUUUUUUGUGUGUGAUUGUUGGAUAUCUGCACUCAGGUCUUCAUGCUUAUGAGGCAAGUCCUUUACCAACUGAGCCAUCUCUCCAGACCAAGCAUAAAGGUUUUAUAGCUCAGCUCCACAUCCUAUCAAGUCUUUGUUUCCUGGCUGCAUAUACAAUGUGACCAGCUCCUGCUUCUCCUACUGCUCCAGCUGCUCAGCUGCCCCAGCUGCUCCUGCUGCUCCAGCUGCCCAGCUGCUCCAGCUGCCGCUGCUGCCCCUGCUGCUCC